AUUGAACGCUGGCGGCAUGCUUUACACAUGCAAGUCGAACGGUAACAGGCCGCAAGGUGCUGACGAGUGGCGAACGGGUGAGUAAUGCAUCGGAACGUGCCCAGUCGUGGGGGAUAACGCAGCGAAAGCUGCGCUAAUACCGCAUACGAUCUCUGGAUGAAAGCGGGGGACCGAAAGGCCUCGCGCGAUUGGACCGGCCGAUGGCAGAUUAGGUAGUUGGUGGGGUAAAGGCCCACCAAGCCAACGAUCUGUAGCUGGUCUGAGAGGACGACCAGCCAUACUGGGACUGAGACACGGCCCAGACUCCUACGGGAGGCAGCAGUGGGGAAUUUUGGACAAUGGGCGCAAGCCUGAUCCAGCAAUGCCGCGUGCAGGAAGAAGGCCUUCGGGUUGUAAACUGCUUUUGUACGGAACGAAACGGUCCUGGUUAAUACCUGGGGCUAAUGACGGUACCGUAAGAAUAAGCACCGGCUAACUACGUGCCAGCAGCCGCCGCAGUAA
rnacentral:rRNA from 1 species